UAUUUUUGAUCCAUUGUUAAAAACAAGCAUAUUUUCAAGUGGUAUUCUGCACAGUCAGUGAUGUAUCAGUGCUUGAUGUCACUGUUCUUCACAAAAUGUGAUAAUAAUGGUAUCUGUUAACAUGAAAACAAAGUUUGACUCCGCAGAAGCAGCUGGAAGUAGAUAACCAUAGUAUAUUUAAAUCUCUUAGGAAUACACUGACGUAUGCUGCUAAAAGUUCCUCCUAUCCUGGAAUUCUUUUAAGUGAAAUACUUGUGCUGAGUCUCAGCUGGUGUGCAUGAAGGAAUAUUCAUUUCCCAGUAGUAACAUGAAAUUUGAUU
rfam:Apaloderma vittatum contig52972, whole genome shotgun sequence.